CGCGAGCAGGACGAGGAAAGGGCUGGCAUGCUAUCAGCUGAUUGCUUACCAUGGUAGAGGACUUCCUGAGGACUUGUCUCGCCUUCUCCAGUGAGGACUUCCAGGCCUCCUAUGGAAGCAGAAUGAGGUCACACUGAGGCAGAGAGGUACAACUUGAGAUGUGGGGAAGGAUUGCUGCAAGAACUGCUUCCCAGGACUGGUAUCCGAUACUCAGCCCCAGUGUUCCCAUCCUCGGCCGGCCCCUGGGCAGCUCUAAAAUCUCAUGCUCAGAAUUCUGGAAGACCCUGGAAAUCAUACCUUUAUUUAAAGUCAUCCACUCUGGUUGUGGCCAGGAUAAUAGACACCAGAUCUGCAUGCUGAUUUCUUUUUUAGCAAUUCUUGUUGGGCUCAAGCUCAUUCUCUACGUGUGAAUCAUAGAAAGCAUUUUUUUCCCUCAUGCCCAGCUUUCC
rnacentral:lncRNA from 1 species